CAGCUCUCGAGCAGAUCCCUGACACACUGAAGGAGCUUCCUGUGCCACACUUACAGCCUUUCUGCUUUUCCCCCAAGACGAAGAGCUGCCCCUGCCACUGGACCUGCCUCCUCCUCCACCCCUGGAUGGAGAUGAAUUAGGGCUGCCUCCACCCCCACCAGGCUUUGGGCCUGAUGAGCCCAGCUGGGUGCCUGCCUCAUACUUGGAGAAAGUGGUGACACUGUACCCAUACAUCGGCCAGAAGGACAAUGAGCUCUCCUUCUCUGAGGGCACUGUCAUCUGUGUCACUCGCCGCUACUCCGAUGGCUGGUGCGAGGGCAUCAGCUCAGAGGGGACUGGAUUCUUCCCCGGAAACUAUGUGGAGCCCAGCUGCUGACAGCCCAGGGCUCUCUGGGCAGCUGAUGCCUGCACUGAGUGGGUUUCAUGAACCCCAGGCCAAAACCAGCUCCAGUCACGGCUGGACUGGGUCUGUCCAGCUCUUGGGCUGUGAGCUGUGUUCUGUCCCUCUUCCCAUCGUGGAGGGAAGGGGUCCUGCGGAGAGAGAACUUACCCAGAGGCCUGUUGCAGAUGGGGAAGAGCUGGAAACCAAGAAGUUUGUCAACAGAGGACCCCUACUCCAUGCAGGGCAGGGUCUCCUGCUGCAAGUCCCAACUUUGAAUAAAAUGGAUGACGUCCUGUGACUGCCCCACGGAGAUAAGGGGCCAGGAGGGAUUGAAAGGCAUCCCAAUUCUAAGGCUGCUGCUAAUUACAGCCCCCAACCUCCAACCCACCAGCUGCCCCAGAAGCAGCAUCUUUCCAGUCCCUCAGUACCCACAAAGUGCAGCCCACAUUGGACCCCAGACACCCCUCUGCAGCCAUUGACUGCAACUUGUUCUUUUGCCCAUUG